CGGACAUUAAGUGCCCCGCCUCGGGGAGUACGGCCGCAAGGCUAAAACUCAAAGGAAUUGACGGGGCCCGCACAAGCGGCGGAGCAUGCGGAUUAAUUCGAUGCAACGCGGAGAACCUUACCAAGGUUUGACAUGGACCGGACCGCUGCAGAGAUGCAGCUUCCCUUCGGGGUCGGUUCACAGGUGGUGCAUGGUUGUCGUCAGCUCGUGUCGUGAGAUGUUGGGUUAAGUCCCGCAACGAGCGCAACCCUUAUCCUUAGUAGCCAGCGGUUCGGCCGGGCACUCUAGGGAGACUGCCAGGGAUAACCUGGAGGAAGGUGGGGAUGACGUCAAAUCAUCAUGCCCCUUAUGAUUUGGGCUACACACGUGCUACAAUGGCGUAAACAAAGGGAAGCGAACCCGUGAGGGGAAGCAAAUCUCAAAAAUAACGUCUCAGUUCGGAUUGUAGUCUGCAACUCGACUACAUGAAGCUGGAAUCGCUAGUAAUCGCGAAUCAGCAUGUCGCGGUGAAUACGUUCCCGGGUCUUGGUCGACGCGGCCG
rnacentral:rRNA from 1 species